UAGAACGACUAGUGCACUUCUUUCUCUGGGUAUAGAGAUAAUGACGUUGCAUUGGAAGUGUCUCGGUCGAAAGGAAAAAAGGGAGGAACAAAAAGAGAAAAAAGCAAAAAAAAAAAAGAAAGAGGAGGAAAAGAGGAAAAAGAAUUAAACGUCUGUCUCUCGUUUCGAGAAACAAGAGAGAAUGUUUGAAAGGGAGAGAAAGACCGUCUUCCGUUCUCUAGGAAGAUCGUCGAAAACAUUUGCUGUCGAAACGGAGAGAGAAAAAAAUGAGUUGACAACGCUCGUUGUACGAGCAACAACGACGACUAGGCUGUGGCAGUAAACGAAAAGGGAUAAGGGAUGAUGGCGCAAAAAGGGGAUCGAAGAAAAG